AGUCAGCUGAUGAGUCUGAAAUAGGACGAAAUGCGAGUCCUGUAU
rnacentral:hammerhead_ribozyme from 1 species